GGUGGUGGAGCAAUGCAAGGCUCAGUAGGGUCUGCUGUAAGGAUUGAGUUCAAGGGACUCUGCCAGUUUUGUUGGAUUAGACUGUAGGCUCCCUAUCCCCACUGAAGAAAAAGAAGAGGAGGAAAAUUUGCUGCAGGGUCUACAAAUUGCAGGCUGUCAUUGCAAAGACUAAGGGGGAGUUUGAAGGAGACGCCGGGACUAGCAGUUGUUCCUCACUUUUAAGGAGCUGCGGAGUGCCAUUGACAUCUUCAGCGAAGCAUAAAUCCUUGAAGAACCAGGCCGAGGAAGCUAUAGCCCUGGCAUGCCACCCAGUUCUUAAACAAAAAACGGGAACCAGUGGAGUGAGAAGGGGUGCCCUGUGUCGUUUUCAUUGCAGGAUCAAGGCCCUGAACAGACUUCUGCCUGUGGGCUGCAUCUUUAACCCAUUCAAAAGCUGAAGUUAGUGCAGAAUGUGACUACCUGCUUAUUAAGUGGAGCUUUGCACCAUGACACGUGUCACCAGCGCUCCAGGAUCUGCACUGGCUGCACCUUGGCUUCCAGGAUCACAAAAAUUCACCUCCCUUUGGACACUGAGUUGGAAGGUUCCACACAGCUGUACCAUGUGCCAGUAGCAAUGGAGUCUGGAGAUCCUGGAGAGGAAGAAGAGAAGGACAAGAGGGAGAAAGUUCUGCUCAUUAAUAAGUUUGCAGAAGCUGUCAUGCUGGUCGAUAGUCUCUUCUCUGCUGAAGACAGCAUUAUUGUCUGAUUUAUGUUUUGACUCAUCCCCUUGUCCCGUUUCGUUAAUCGUCUGCUG